rnacentral:rRNA from 1 species
GUGGGGAAUAUUGGACAAUGGGCGAAAGCCUGAUCCAGCCAUGCCGCGUGUGUGAAGAAGGUCUUCGGAUUGUAAAGCACUUUAAGUUGGGAGGAAGGGCAGUAAGUUAAUACCUUGCUGUUUUGACGUUACCGACAGAAUAAGCACCGGCUAACUUCGUGCCAGCAGCCGCGGUAAUACGAAGGGUGCAAGCGUUAAUCGGAAUUACUGGGCGUAAAGCGCGCGUAGGUGGUUUUGUAAGUUGGAGGUGAAAUCCCCGGGCUCAACCUGGGAACUGCAUCCAAAACUGGCGAGCUAGAGUACGGUAGAGGGUGGUGGAAUUUCCUGUGUAGCGGUGAAAUGCGUAGAUAUAGGAAGGAACACCAGUGGCGAAGGCGACCACCUGGACUGAUACUGACACUGAGGUGCGAAAGCGUGGGGAGCAAACAGGAUUAGAUACCCCGGUAGUCC